AAAAAAAAAAAAAAAAAAAAAAAAGAAGAGAAAACAUUACAGACUGAUUUCACAGUAGCCUACGGCAUGAGUAAUUCCCACAGAGCCGUGUCACAAACAGACAUUCAAGAAGUCUAUUUCAGCCAGCCCAUUGUGACACAGGCCUGGAACCCCAACCUCAGGAGUCGCAGGCAGGAAGAUCACAACUUAAAUCUAUCAGUGAGAUUCUGUCUCAAAAGCAAAAGGUAGGGAGAGGGCACAGUAGUUAAGAGCACUGAUUGCUCUCAGAUGAUCUGGGUUUGGUUCCCAAUAGCUACAUUCACAUUUCACAGCCAUCUGUAGCUCCAGCUCCAGAAGAUACUACUUCUGGCCACUGUGGGCAUCAGGCACCCACAUGGUGCACAGACAUACAUUCAGGACCUCUCACAUAUACAUAAAACAACACAUGUACAUAUACACAUACACAUACACAUACACAUACACAUACACAUACACAUACACAUACACAUACACAUACACAUACACAUACACAUACACAUAUAUAGUUGUGCCCUUCCCCAAGCCUUGAGUAGGCUAAACAAACCCAUGGUAUUUUUUUC
rnacentral:lncRNA from 1 species